rnacentral:rRNA from 1 species
AGUGAACGCUGGCGGCGUGCCUAAUACAUGCAAGUCGAACGAAGUCGCGCACGGGUGUGUAAUAUAUAGUUAAUCUGCCCUACACAGAGGAACAACAGUUGGCAACGACUGCUAAUACCUCAUAGUGUAGGAUGAGACUAUAUCUUAUCAGCUAGUUGGUAAGGAAAUGGCGUACCAAGGCUAUGACGCGGAACUGGUCUGAGAGGAUGAUCAGUCACAUUGGAACGGAGACACCGUCCAGACUCCUUCGGGAGUCAGCAGUAAGGAAUAGUGCGCAAUGGGGGAAACCCUGACGCAGCAUCGCCGCGUGGAGUAUGACACUUUUCGGAGCGUAAACUCCUUUUAUCAAGAAAGCGGUACCUGAUGAAUAAGCACCGGCUAACUCCGUGCCAGCAGCCGCGGUAAUAC